UUGAAAUUUCAAAUUGCUUCACUAUGGCAAGAAAUAUGUGUCUUUACUACCAAUUAAAAUCUAUUUUUUAAAAAAAAUUAUAUUAUAUCACUUUGAACAUGAGAAUCUUACUAAUGUUUAUAGGAAGGUGCCAAUGCUUAGCCAACAUGCUAGAAGGUGUGAAACCCAGAUGGGGAUCUGAGAAUUAUAAUUUCUUCAAUUCACAAAGGCCAAAACAGUUCCAGGGAAUUUGUGACCUUGCCUUUAGUGAUGUUUGCCACUGCUGCCGCUGUGUGGAAGCUUGACUCUGUGAUCUUGUGACUGGGGCUCUUCGUGGUGAUGCCCGUGCCGAAACGCUGCUGCAGUGACAGCAUUAUGAUCCAGGCAAGCUAAUGCGAGCACGAAAAGGACAAAGAGGUGCCGAAGCAAACUCGCAAGUGCCAUUCUUGAACUGCGAAUUGCUGAGCCUAGGUUGUGGAUUAUAUAGAGAAACAUCGUCUAUAGUCAC
rnacentral:lncRNA from 1 species